CGGCAUCCAGGAGCAGAGCACUUUACUCCCUCAGAAUGAAUGGAGACCAGAAAUUGGACCCUUAUGCCCAAGCAAAGCAGGAUUUCAUCCAGCAUUUCUCCCAGAUUGUCAAGGUGCUGACCGAGGAUGGCGUGGGCCACCCGGAGACCGGAGACACCAUUGCCCGGCUCAAGGAGGUCUUGGAGUACAAGGUGAUUGGUGGCAAGUGCCAGCGGGGUUUGACUGUGCUGAUAGCAUUUCAGGAGCUGGUAGAGCCAAGGAAGCAGGAUGCCGAUAGUCUCCGGCGGACCCUGACUGUGGGCUGGUGUGUGGAACUGCUCCAAGCUUUCUUCCUGGUGUCCGACGACAUCAUGGACUCAUCCCUCACCUGCCGGGGGCAGAUCUGCUGGUAUCAGAAGCCAGGCAUAGGUUUGGAUGCCAUCAAUGAUGCUUUGCUUAUGAAGAGUGUAUCUACCGCCAGCUGAAGCUCUACUGUUGGGAGCAGCCCCAUUACCUGAACCUGAUAGAGCUUUUCCUUCAGAGUUCCUAUCAGACCGAGAUCGGACAGACCCUGGACCUCAUCACAGCCCCCCAGGGCAAUGUGGAUCUUGGCAGAUUCACUGAAAAGAGGUACAAAUCUAUGGUCAAGUACAAGACCGCUUUCUACUCGUUCUUUCUUCCUGUGGUGGCUGCCAUGUACAUGGCGGGCAUCGAUGGGGAGAAAGAGCAUGCCAAUGCCAAGAAGAUCCUGCUGGAGAUGGGGGAGUUCUUCAGAUUCAGGACGAUUACCUCGACCUCUUUGGGGACCCCAGUGUGACAGGCAAGAUUGGCACAGACAUCCAGGACAACAAAUGCAGCUGGCUGGUGGUUCAGUGUCUGCAGCGGGCCGCUCCGAAAUAGCGUCAGCUCUUUCAGGAGAAUCACGGACAGAAGGAGGCGGAGAAGGUGACCCGGGUGAAGGCGCUGUACGAGGAGCUGAACAUGCCCGCCGUGUUCACGCAGUAUGAGGAAGACAGCUACGGCCACCUUCUGGGCCUCAUCGAGCAGUAUGCCUUGCCCCUGCCCCCGGCCAUCUUCCUGCUGCUGGCACACAAGAUCUACAAGAGGAAAAAGUGA